AGUCAGUCGCGUUGGUUGGGGAUCAGCCUGACAUUGUUGGGUUUACUUCCUGGUCGACGGGCCAACAUCAGUUUUGACUGCCAGAAAAAGGCCAAAGGAAUGUGGCACCUUUGGGUGUGUUAUAGCCCUUGGUUGUAUAUGGUGGUUGGGACUGAGGAAAGCAGUGUGCCGAAAGGCCGGGUUUCGACCACGUUCACGCUGAGGAUGUUGGCAUAAUGGCUUUAAGCGACCCGUCUUGAAACACGGACCAAGGAGUCUAACAUGCAUGCGAGUGUUUGGGUGGAAAACCCUUACGCGUAAUGAAAGUGAAAGUUGAGAUCCCUGUCGCGGGGAGCAUCGACGCCCGGACCAGAACUUUUGGGACGGAUCUGCGGUAGAGCACGUAUGUUGGGACCCGAAAGAUGGUGAACUAUGCCUGAAUAGGGUGAAGCCAGAGGAAACUCUGGUGGAGGCUCGUAGCGAUUCUGACGUGCAAAUCGAUCGUCAAAUUUGGGUAUAGGGGCGAAAGACUAAUCGAACCAUCUAGUAGCUGGUUCCUGCC
rnacentral:rRNA from 1 species